CUAGACCCGGCCCAAAUUUCCAUUUUCCCCCUUCUGUUCAACCCGUACAACACACCUUCAGCCUGCAACAAAAGACAAACCAACAACAAUAUCGACAAUAUAGUCGAACAACACCAACAACAACCUUCAAACCAUCGGGGAUCACAAAAUUCGCUGGGUCAUCUCCACCUCUCUUCUUUUCUCAACUUUGUUUCAUCUCCAUCAACAUCACCUGCCUUUCCAUCACUUUUGCUCAAGCAAAUCAAAGUCCAAUUCUCUGCAAUUUCAAGAAAAGAUGAGAAAAUCCGAAUAACCAUUGGAUUCAAGGUAUUUCACCAGUAAUUCGACGGCUACGGAGCUUAAUCCGAUAGACUCAAGCUAAAAAAACCUUCAAUCCGUCACUUUUCCUUCAAAUCGACUGAAAGAGGUGACCCCUUUCCCUCCUUUAUUUCUUUUCAUCAAUCAAUCCUACUGAUUUCCAAAAUAUUUUUCCUUUCCACCAAGAAUUCAAAAUUUGAAAUUCUUGAAAUUUUCCUUGAAGGAGCGUUAGACUCCAAAAUUUCUCUACCUAGUUUCAACAAGUUUUCAGCCUUCUCCGUCUCCCCUCCUACUCUAUUUUUUAGCUACUGAUUCUACUCUAAGUCAUUUUGGUCUUGGCAUUCUCUUUCGAUUUCUGCUUCGAACACAUUUGAGCUUGUCGGUGUAGAUUUACGACUGAGAAAUCGCAGUUCGCUGCUCCGCACAAGGUUAGUAAUCACCCUCGUAUACACCUUUCUUGUCAACCUUUUAGGAUGUAGUCGUUUAAUAAGUCACGCCGUGCACCCUGACUUUGUUUAUUUAAAAUCUAGUUGUUACUCUACUUUUUUCCUAGUCUAUUCAUAAUGAUUGAUAAAGAUCAAUAAUACAUGGAUGAAUUGUUGUUGAUUUGUUGAAUACGUGGAUAAUUGUGUUGCUUCUUUUAAAUUUUAUGCGACCACUGUACUCUUAAUUUUGUAAACUGAAACGACUUAAGAAUUGGCUCGCAAUGAGUUAUGAUUAGGACAAUUUGCCGUAUUUGAUUCGAAACGUCUACAUUGGCUUGUUCACUUUCUUUUGUCCGUAUGUGUCGGAGGCUUUGUUGAUAAAGGUGUUACUUUAUAAAUUUUUUAGACUUGAAAAUCAUCUUUAUAAAAUUCUAGUUUUGACUAAAAAAGUGUGAAUUUCUCCUUUUGGUUUCAUUUUCAGCUCUUUUUCUUCGUCUCAUUUAGUUUCAUGGUCAAGUGAUUUUUGUUUUGACCAACUUAUAUUGUUGUUGUGAUGCUGAAAAUGAUUCUGUAUGUGAAUAUCUGUAUAUGUGAGCAUUUAUAUCCUUUUCUUUCAUUUUUUGUUACGUGUGUGACUCCCAAAAGUGAGCUCCAAUUUAAUUUCGUCUUAAUCUAGCUAUGUGGCUGUUGUUUGGGAAAUAAUGUUAAAGUCCUUUUUUUACCCUCCAUUCUUUGUUACCCGCUUUGUUCAAUAUAUAUUUGCAUGAACCAACAAAUGUGCUUUGUUUAUUUAAAUUCCUACUUGUAGCAUCUAUCAAAUAUGUCUUGGUUUUGGAUUGAUUUAGGUGUAUGAAUUACCUCAUCUUGCCUUGUUAGUUAUUCGUCAGAUCACGUUUGGUUAUAUGUGUUGCUGUUUUGGUGUUCAAAUAGGUGAAAUUUAUAAAAUUUUACUUCUCUGUUUUGCCAUACUUCGUGCAAUAUAAGGCCGCUAUGAAUGUCCAAUGGCCACUGGUUUCGUUCAUUUAAGUUUAAGGGUAGUUUAAUCUCUUGUCUAAGAUUGAAGAGUUUGUUACUAUCCCACCAAUAUUAGUAUAAUCUCAUUUAAAAUGUCAUAUGUUCCCUCGUCAUUCAUGAACGUGUUGUUUUAAAUUUGAAUCGAACUCCCUUGUUUAUUGAAUUGUUCAAGUUUGGUGUGAGAACUGUUAUGUUCAUCCUUGAAUUUGUAAAGUCUGUUAAAAGAGUUUCUUGUCAAUCAUACCUCAUCUCGCCAUAUUCAAGUGUGAAAAUAUUUUUAAAAAAAGUGAGGUCGCUCUUUCUCCUUCUCUCAGUAACAUUCUAUAAUAGCCUCCAUACUUGAAUAACUAACUACUAUCAUUGUAGUUAAAGUUUUAAGAAGCUUUUUAAGGGUGUGAAAAGUGAGAUUGGGCUUGAUUGGUCUCCUCUCUUACUUACGCCAUUAGUUAGAAAAAAUAUGUUUUCACUUUCUAUCCUUUCUAUCCUUAAGACGAACGAGUUAAAACAUUACUUUAAUUUUGAGAUGCUUGGUUUGAUGUGUUUCUAUGAACUUUUUCUUAUUUUCUCAAAUGUGCAAAUUAAUUAACAUGCUAUAAGUUCAGCACUUGGGCAUCUUGUUUAUUCCCAUGGCAUAAUGACACUGGCUAGCUCCUGUUCUUGUUUUAUUUCCAUUACUUGAUCACAUCUUGUUCUAUUUCCUCUACUUAAUAAUAUAGGCUAGCUUCUAUUCUUGAAUCUACUUAGACGCACCAUUUAUCCAAUAUGUGAUUUUUAUUAGUAUAACUUCACAUUGUUAUGUAGUUAACUCUAUGUCAAGACUAAUUCCUUUUUUCUUUUUUCACAUGUACUUGGGAGCAAAAAAUGAGAGUAUUCCUACAAGUUUAAGGUGUAAGAAGUCUCACUUUGAGACUUACUAAUGCCUCUAGACUUCAAUAACAUGCACCGCCUCUCUCGCUCUGUGCCUCUUGCUUCUUCAAAAUCAUCUAAAAGAAAUGGCAAAGACAAGCUGAAAUAUACAGAAAUACCCCUCUAUUCCUUUAGUUGUUACUAUGUUGUGUUUGCUUUCACAUGUUGCUUGUUUUCUGGUAGUUUAUUUGUGGAUUGACACUUUUGUUCUUCGUUUUCUAUUUGGGGGUUUUGAACUUUUAGUACAAUAACAGAAUAGUAUUUUGGUCGUAUAGGAGCUUCCACUUGCUGAAACUUUUCUUUUAGGCAAUGACUCCUAAUUAUGUUCACUUUAGGUUUAUUAUAUUUUGUUAAAAUAUGACUAAACUAUUUCACCGGAAAACUCUUUGUGAUAAUACUCAAUAAGCUUUAGCUAUUUUAAAAUUAUUAAUUUCUUUUCUCAAAUGAGAUUUUCCUUUCAGGUAAACGUUGGGCAAUUUUUUUUUUUUUUAAUUAUUAUUAUAUGUAUGAAAAAAGUUUUCAGAUAUUAUUACUGAUAAAACUCAAUUACAAAGAUUUUUAGGAAGUCUUAAUUAUAUUUUCCCUUUCUAUGAGAACUUAUCUCGUGAUUUGACUCCUUUGUAUGACAGAUUAAAAAAGAAUCACAAAGAACCCUGGACUACUACUCAUACUAAGCUAGUUCAAAUGAUUAAAAAAUGUGUUGAGUCUUUACUUUGUGUAACCGUUUGCAAAUCCUGCAUGGUUAAAAAUCGUGGAAACUGAUGCUUUUAAUAUAGGUUAUGGUGGAAUUCUAAAACAAGUGAAUCCCUAUACUAAUACUGAAAGUCUUAUUAGAUUUCAUUCAGGAAAAUGGUUUGAAAGCCAGAAAAAAUACGCAACGGUGGUUCAUGAAAUGUUAACUAUUGUUAAAUGUGUUCUAAAAUUUCAAGACGAUUUGUAUAAUCAAAAGUUUAUUGUUAGAGCUGAUGCGCAAUUAGUUAAAUACAUGUUUGAUAAAGAUUUUAAACAUGAUGCUUCUAAAUUAAUCUUUGCAAGAUGGUAGGCUCAAUAAACACCUUUUGAUUUUGAAAUUCAAUUCAAAAAGGGUAGUGAAAAUUCUUUACCUGAUUUCCUGUCUCGAGAAUAUAUCAAUAGUUCCUAACAAAAUUUUUGCAGGUCAUUCUUAGAAUAAAGAACAAAAAUCAAGAAGAAUAAAUUUUUACACUUUCUAUCUCUCUGAAAAAACGAUUAUUGCUAUCAUAAAAUGCAUUCCUCUGUAUGAAGACAUUCAUUUUAUUAUACUAGAAAAACUUAUCCACGAUAUGAUAAAGGAAGACUUAUUUGUUCCAAAUUUUGAAGAUAUACGUGAUGAAAUUGAUUGGUAUGAUAUUGCCUCAUCUUAUGAUAGAUUCUGAUUCUAUUUACACUUGCUGUAUGCGUACAGACCCUCCUUGGCAAGUGGUAAGAGGCAGAGGAAAUAUCGGCAGAAGCCAAAUUCAAAAUACUAGAGGAAGAGGAUCCUCAUCUUCAUAUGCUUCAAGUUCAUCUAAUUUCCCAGUAUUACAAAGAGAAAAUAUAAGCUUGAUUAAUACGAAAAUUCAGCAUAUUGCAGAAUCAUUACCUUCGAAAAGUCCACAUAUAAGCCCUUCAAUCUGUCUAGACGAUUUUCCAGAAGAUCAUCCUCUAUAUGAGCAAAUACAAUCUUAUAUAUCCGCCAAGAAGGCUGAUUCAUUUUUUGCGAUUGUUUCUGAAAACACUGCCGAUAGGCCCAAUUAUGAAAAGUUGGAGGAAAGAGAACUAAUACUUCUUGUUGAAAAUUCUCAAAUAUGCCAACAAGAUGA
rnacentral:lncRNA from 1 species